AACCCAGACUCCUACGGGAGGCAGCAGUGGGGGAUAUUGCACAAUGGGGGGAACCCUGAUGCAGCGACGCCGCGUGGGUGAAGGAGUAUUUCGGCAUGUAAAGCCCUAUCGGCAGGGAAGAAGCAAGACGGUACCUGACUAAGAAGCCCCGGCUAACUACGUGCCAGCAGCCGCGGGAAUACGUAGGGGGCGAGCGUUAUCCGGAUUCACUGGGUGUAAAGGGAGCGUAGACGGCCAAGCAAGCCAGGGGUGAAAGCCCGGGGCCCAACCCCCGGACUGCUUUGGAAACUGUAUAGCUGGAGUGCAGGAGAGGUAAGUGGAAUUCCUGGUGUAGCGGUGAAAUGCGUAGAUAUUAGGAGGAACACCAGUGGCGAAGGCGGCUUACUGGACUGUAACUGACGUUGAGGCUCGAAAGCGUGGGGAGCAAACAGGAUUAGAUACCCCGGUAC
rnacentral:rRNA from 1 species